rnacentral:pre_miRNA from 1 species
UUUUCAUUCCACGUGCUCUCUCACUGGUCGGAGAGGCGAAAGAGUACGCGAAAUGAAGAGA